GUUGCUAGGCAGACAUUUUGAAAAUUCAGUGGCCAGUAUCUGCUUAUUACAGGCAGGACAGUGAGACAAAGACUUAGAACAUUCUUCACAGGCAUAUAGAUCACCACAUGGCAGGAACAGGUCUUUGAUGGGCGCCUGCUUGCACACUCUGCAGGAUGAAAAGAAAAAGUACCAGCAUAAAAAAAUCCAGCAGCGGCCAGAUCUGCAGGCUGAUGAAUGUGAGUGGACGGCCACUGGGUGAAGCUCUCCAGCCUUUUCUUCAAUGUGAUGUAAGCAGGAUUUGAUGGGUGGCUGUAUGCUCUGGUAUCCUGGGCUUGUGCAACUGGACGGAGGGUUUCUUGAACAACUUGUGUAGGAUUUGGACGAGAGGAUGAAUCUCUUCAACAUUUGCCCUAACAAGUUGAUCCCCAAACCCAGUGACUUGUGAGGCAUACACACAGUUUCUCUCAUGAUACUGUCUGUCAGCUGGAUCAGAGGUAAAGUGGGAUAUGGCGUGUGUUUUCCUACAGCCUAUGCAGAUGAUGGUAGAGUGUUGGGUAGAAAAAAAGAACCCAGCGUCAGCCAAUUCAGAUACGUACACGUCACCAAUUGCACCUGUGACAGCUCGUCUAAAUGUAGCAAGUCGUGACAAAAGACUGUUGUACUCAGUGUUCCAUUCAUCCAUUUAAUUUAUAUAUACGAAGCGGAAGAAGAUACUAAUCAUUUACCCAAGCCUUAUUAUUAUGGUAUCCAAGGCAGACUGGACAGCAAUGUGCAAUGGCUACCAGUCACACCAAACUUCUAAGAAGCAGGCUGAUUAGUGAAAUCAUUAUGUACAUUAAACAUAUUAAAUGAAUAAAAUUAUUAUCUUACAGAUAGAAAUCGAUAAACUGAGAUUCGAUUAAGUCAAUGUUUAAAACUUUGAAAAUAAAUAUAAACACACAUGUUUAAUUUGACUGAUAAUAUUGUUUCUACUAACUUAUUAUUGAUAGUUGGUUACCGCCUCCUACCUAUACUCUCUUAAAAUCGUUAAUAUUUAAUUUCAAGCAAUA